UACGUAGGAGGCGAGCGUUGUCCGGAUUUAUUGGGCGUAAAGGGCGCGUAGGCGGUGCUUUAAGUUUGUAGUGACAGAGGGUGGCUUAACUACCCAAGGCCUUUGAAAACUGGAGCACUUGAGGACCAGAGAGGGACAUAGAAUUCCGGGUGGAGUGGUGUAAUGCGUAGAUAUCCGGAGGAAUACCAAAGGCGAAGGCAGUGUCCUGGAGGGUGACUGACGCUGAGGCGCGAAAGCUAGGGGAGCGAACCGG
rnacentral:rRNA from 1 species